rnacentral:rRNA from 1 species
CAGCAGCCACGGGAAUACGUAGGGUGCGAGCGUUAAUCGGAAUUACUGGGCGUAAAGCGUGCGCAGGCGGUUGUGUAAGACAGGUGUGAAAUCCCCGGGCUUAACCUGGGAACUGCGCUUGUGACUGCACAGCUAGAGUAUGGCAGAGGGGGGUGGAAUUCCACGUGUAGCAGUGAAAUGCGUAGAGAUGUGGAGGAACACCGAUGGCGAAGGCAGCCCCCUGGGCCAAUACUGACGCUCAUGCACGAAAGCGUGGGGAGCAAACAGGAUUAGAUACCCCUGUAGUCCCUGUCUCUUAUAU